UACAUGUGGGGCAAGCGUUGUUCGAAAUUACUGGGCAUAAAGGGUGCGUAGGCGGCUUGUCAAGUCACUGGUGAAAGUUUUCGGCCCAACCGGAAAAUUGCCUGUGAUACUGAUGAGCUUGAGUGCGUGAGGGGUGGGGGGAACGAGCAGUGUAGCGGUGAAAUGCGUAGAUAUUGCUCGGAAGGCCGGAGCCGAAGGGGCCCCACUGGUACGUAACUGACGCUGAGGCACGAAAGCGUGGGGAGCAAACAGG
rnacentral:rRNA from 1 species